GACGAACGCUGGCGGCGUGCUUAACACAUGCAAGUCGAACGGAAAGGCCCUGCUUUUGUGGGGUGCUCGAGUGGCGAACGGGUGAGUAACACGUGAGUAACCUGCCCUUGACUUUGGGAUAACUUCAGGAAACUGGGGCUAUUACCGGAUAGAAUCUCCUGCUGCAUGGUGGGGGUUGGAAAGUUUCGGCGGUUGGGGAUGGACUCGCGGCUUAUCAGCUUGUUGGUGGGGUAGUGGCUUACCAAGGCUUUGACGGGUAGCCGGCCUGAGAGGUUGACCGGCCACAUUGGGACUGAGAUACGGACCAGACUCCUACGGGAGGCAGCAGUGGGGAAUAUUGCACAAUGGGCGGAAGCCUGAUGCAGCAACGCCGCGUGCGGGAUGACGGCCUUCGGGUUGUAAACCGCUUUCGCCUGUGACGAAGCGUGAGUGACGGUAAUGGGUAAAGAAGCACCGGCUAACUACGUG
rnacentral:rRNA from 1 species